GCACCAUCUUCAUCUGCACACUGGCCCUCUGGACUCAACAAUGCAGAGGUCAGGCAACUGUGACUCAGACCCCUGCAGAGAAAUCUGCUCUUCCAGGAGACACAAUCACCAUCAACUGUAACAGUAACACUGCAGUUGACAAUGACUGUAACAGCAGGUUUUAUUGUGUGUACUGGUUUCAUCAGAAACCUGGAGAAGCUCCUAAACGCCUGAUCUACUGGGCUACUAACUUGCAGUCAGGAACUCCAGCUCAUUUCAGUGGUAGUGGAUCUGGAUCUGACUUCACUCUGACCAUCAGAGGAGUCCAGACUGACCAUGCAGGAGAUUACUACUGUCUAAUGGAUCAUUACAACACUUUCAAAACCUCACCGUACACACUGUUAGAGAGUCGUACAAAACCUCCCUCAGUCAGACUGCACAGAGACUGCACUGCUGCAGCUGGGACCCACUGCAGGUGUUGAGAGGGAGGAUGUGAUACAGCACAACACACCACUCACUCACUUCUGAACACAUUGCAUAUACAAUUCUAUGAGCUACAACUGCGUAGGAAAUCUGGAGAAGCUCCUACACUUCACCCACCUUUUUUUUUGAGCAGGCCAGUGAGAGUGUUGGCAGUAACCUCCACUGGUACCUACAGAAACCUGGAGAAGCUCCUAAACUCCUGAUAUAUGAUGCAUCUACCCGUCAGUCUGGGAUUCCAGAUCGUUUCAGUGGUAGUGGAUAUGGUACAGAAUUUACUCUAAAAAUCACUGGAGUCCAGGCUGAAGAUGCAGGAGAUUACUACUGUCAGCAGGGUUACAGCUGGUUCACACAGUGUUAGAGUGCUGUACAAAAACCUCCCUCAGCUGUAGAGGAACUGCUCUGACUCAAACACAAACUGAUCUGAGAUCAGCUGCACAGCUGCUAAAUCUGCACUCAACUCAUCAACUCCAAAUUACUACAGUACUGAACUGUUUGAUCUUUUAAACUGUCAUCACUGUGUAAUAGAUACUUACAUCUCUACAUAUGUAGCAGGUUAAUGUCUUUCCUUUAAACCAACCCCUGAUAACAUCCUGCUUCUACACUCAGGUUCUGGACAAAGGCAGUAAUAUAUGAACACAUCACUGUGGUGUAUAAGGACAGGUGAUCACUACCUAGUGAACUGGUCUGAGUUACUCUUGAUUCUUUUAAUCAUUUUACUGCUGUUUUUAGCCUGGAGAUCCUGGAAAAGCUGCUGAGGAAAUACUGUGUUAAACUGUCCAGACAGCAACUGGUAUGUGAAUUUAAUUCUUCCCUCUUUUUAGAAUAAAAGAGUUCACUUAAAGUCUUGACAACUGAAUUUCUGGGUCAUUUACGGUGAUGAUGGGACAGACAGUGUGAAAAUCUAGAAUUACUGUUGAAGUGUAGCUGACUAUACCACCCUGGGAAUUUCAGCACAGGGAAAGUGCUAUGCUAAGAAAAAAGGAAUAUAAUUGAAACAUGAAAAAUUUAUUUUAUUAAAGUUGAAGAAAUGAAUGAAUUU